rnacentral:lncRNA from 1 species
UUGGUGGCUGGUAAUUUUCUCAAGCUUGGAGCUUGGUGUGGGGCUCAUGGGUUCGCAGUUGAUUGGAAUUUGGUUCAUAAUUGGAAGAGAGUGAUGCCACAUGCAUUUGAGUCUUUAAUGUUGUUGAGAGUCACAUUGCGUAUGGAUUAUAUAUUAUUGUGAAUUGGGUGAACUUGAAUACAUGUUUUGUGUUGUAUGGUGGAUUAUAUUCGAAUUGUAUUGUAUUUAA